AGAAUUACAGUUGACACUUUGACUCACAGUCUGUAAUGCAUUUCAGUCGUACACGUCUAAGGUCAGAGAUGACGCAGCUGGUUUGUGAGAAUUUUGCAAAACAGCAUGUGGGCUAAAAACAACAACAAAAACAAACAGGCACGUUGUUG